rnacentral:rRNA from 1 species
AUUGAACGCUGGCGGCAGGCCUAACACAUGCAAGUCGAGCGGAGCGGCGGACGGGGGAGUAUUGCCUAGGAAUCUGCCUGGUCGUGGGGGAUAACGUCCGGAAACGGGCGCUAACACCGCAUACUAUCAGAUGAGCCUAUGUGGGGUUAGCUAGUGGGUGGGGUAACGGUCUACCAUGGCGACGAUCCGUAACUGGUCUGAGAGGAUGAUCAGUCACACUGGAACUGAGACACAGUCCAGACGCAUACGGGAGGCAGCAGUGGGGAAAAUUGGACAAUGGGCGAAAGCCUGAUCCGGCCAUGGCGCGUGUGUGAAGAAGGUCUUCGGGUUGUAAAGCACUUUAAGUUGGGAGGCGUUACCAGCAGAAUAAGCACCGGCUAACUUCGUGCCAGCAGCCGCGGUAAUUC